CCUACGGGGGGCAGCAGUGGGGAAUAUUGGACAAUGGGGGGAACCCUGAUCCAGCCAUGCCGCGUGUGUGAAGAAGGCCCUCGGGUUGUAAAGCACUUUCAGUGAGGAAGAACGCCUGGUGGUUAAUACCCAUCAGGAAAGACAUCACUCACAGAAGAAGCACCGGCUAACUCCGUGCCAGCAGCCGCGGUAAUACGGAGGGUGCGAGCGUUAAUCGGAAUUACUGGGCGUAAAGCGCGCGUAGGUGGCUUGAUAAGCCGGUUGUGAAAGCCCCGGGCUCAACCUGGGAACGGCAUCCGGAACUGUCAAGCUAGAGUGCAGGAGAGGAAGGUAGAAUUCCCGGUGUAGCGGUGAAAUGCGUAGAGAUCGGGAGGAAUACCAGUGGCGAAGGCGGCCUUCUGGACUGACACAGACACUGAGGUGCGAAAGCGUGGGUAGCAAACAGGAUUAGAUACCCCAGUAGUC
rnacentral:rRNA from 1 species